UGGAGCGUAGUUUAACGGCAAAACGCACGACUUAUAAUCGUGUUUCGCAGGUCCGACUCCUGCCGUUCCGACCA
rnacentral:tRNA from 1 species